rnacentral:rRNA from 1 species
AACGAACGCUGGCGGCAGGCUUAACACAUGCAAGUCGAACGCCCCGCAAGGGGAGUGGCAGACGGGUGAGUAACGCGUGGGAACGUGCCCUUCGCUUCAGGAUAGCCUCGGGAAACUGGGAGUAAUACUGAAUACGCCGUAUUGGGAAAGAUUUAUCGGCGAAGGAUCGGCCCGCGUUAGAUUAGGUAGUUGGCGGUGUAAUGGACCACCAAGCCUACGAUCUAUAGCUGGUCUGAGAGGAUGAUCAGCCACACUGGGACUGAGACACGGCCCAGACUCCUACGGGAGGCAGCAGUGGGGAAUCUUGGACAAUGGGCGCAAGCCUGAUCCAGCCAUGCCGCGUGAGUGAAGAAGGCCUUAGGGUUGUAAAACUCUUUCGCCGGAGAAGAUAAUGACGGUAUCCGGAGAAGAAGCCCCGGCUAACUUCGUGCCAGCAGCCGCGGUAAUACGAAGGGGGCUAGCGUUGUUCGGAAUUACUGGGCGUAAAGCGCACGUAGGCGGGUUUGUAAGUAGGGGGUGAAAUCCCAGGGCUCAACCCUGGAACUGCCUUCUAAACUGCAAGCCUGGAGGUCAGGAGAGGCGAGUGGAAUACCGAGUGUAGAGGUGAAAUUCGUAGAUAUUCGGUGGAACACCAGUGGCGAAGGCGACUCGCUGGACUGAUACUGACGC